GCUUUCAUGGUGUAGUGGUCAGCACACUCGGCAUAUAACCGAGACGUCGGUGGUUCGAUUCCCGGCGAAGGGG
rnacentral:tRNA from 1 species